CAUUCAAUAAAGUAUGCAUAAGGUUACGACAUACAUUUGUCUCUAUAUGCAUUAGAUCAAGAUUAUGCUUGAUGUGAUGGUACUCCCAAUAAGGAAGUUCAAAAAAAAUACUUCGGUUUCUCCAUGUUCCCUUUUGAACCCUAUCUGCUGGUUCACUCAUCUUUUCGAAGUUGAACUUUAUUCCUUUUAAUUGGUCCAACAAAUCAGAUCC
rnacentral:lncRNA from 1 species